UACGUAGGUGGCAAGCGUUGUCCGGAAUUAUUGGGCGUAAAGCGCGCGCAGGCGGUCCUUUAAGUCUGAUGUGAAAGCCCCCGGCUCAACUGGGGAGGGUCAUUCGAUACUGAUCGACUCGAAGGCAGGAGAGGGUAGUGGAAUUCCCGGUGUAGUGGUGAAAUGCAUAGAUAUCGAGAGGAACACCUGCGGCGAAAGGCGGGUGCUGGGCCGACACGUGACGCUGAGGAGCGAAAGCGUGGGGAGCGAACAGG
rnacentral:rRNA from 1 species